rnacentral:lncRNA from 1 species
CAAAAAUGAUAGCCCAAAUCCACGAUUAUUACAGAUUUUGGCAAAUUUUGCGUAUUUAUCCCAAAUACUUAAAGAUUGACAUAGAUAUAAGAAGAUGUGGUAUGAGUGCCAAAGAGUUAAACUCUCAUCCAAGUCACAAGUUGUAAAAAGUAAUCCAUUAUAGGUCAAAGUACAGCCUUCAACACAGAGCCUUGGCUCAACCAAACAGCAAGCUACAUGUAUAAAUGGCCCAACAAUGACUAGUAUGAAAACAUUCAAACAGGAAAACCAACGGUCAAAUCUAUGAGAAAAAAUGAAUACUUAUGUACCACAUCAAGAAAACGUCUACCACUGAAAAAACAGGUUACAGACUUAGGACAGGUGCAAACAAAUUUAUACAUUGUUUUUAACCAAAUCCAUAUGCCUUGCCAGUAUGAUUUAUGGUGAAUCAUCAGUAUAGAUUUCCUUUAAUAGCAUUUCCUUAAUACAUUAUCAAAAUAUAGUUAUUACCAUGUCUUUUUCAAAAAUAUAAUAGAAAGUAUGGG